UGGUGGACGAAGAUUCGAAGAAGAUUGAUAAUUGUAGAAGACAGACAGAGUUCUGUUUGUUGGGCUGAUUUUCUAAAUCCAGCUCAAACGUUGACAUUUGCCCAUCUCUAUUCUCCAGGCAUAUGCAUUACCCAACCUCUAGGCUCAUGGGACUAUGCUGGAGCGGCCCGAUACAGUGCACCACUAUGUCUAUUUAAACCCUUUACAAGGGGAAAAAAAAAAAAAGGCAAAAAGACUCAAUAGCUAUCUUCAUCUAGAUUUGGUUUGCCACACUCUUGAGUAAUAUCACCUAGUUAUUCUUGUUUAUAUCUCUUAUUCAUCUUAUACAACAGUGUAGCCAUGCCUUAAAUUUUCAGAUCAAUCCAAUCAUAUAUUUAAAGUUGCUUUCCUUAA